UCUCCGUUGGUGAACCAGCGGAGGGAUCGUUACCGAGUUUACAACUCCCAAACCCCUGUGAACAUACCAUUUGUUGCCUCGGCGGUGCCUGCUUCGGCAGCCCGCCAGAGGACCCAAACCCUUGAUUUUAUACAGUAUCUUCUGAGUAAAUGAUUAAAUAAAUCAAAACUUUCAACAACGGAUCUCUUGGUUCUG
rnacentral:misc_RNA from 1 species